UGUUGAAACUGCCCUUUGGGUGGUUUCCUGAAAAAAGGAUUGCCUCAUGGCUCUCGACGUUCAAGAAAAAGCACAAAUCGUUGCUGACUACCAGCAAGCUGUU
rfam:Pseudomonas sp. ABAC61 scaffold96_001, whole genome shotgun sequence.